rnacentral:tRNA from 1 species
GGUGGGUUGGCUCAGUGGUUAGAGCCUAAGGCUUGCGACCGAAAGGUCCCGGGAUCGAAUCUCGCGACAGGUAG